rnacentral:misc_RNA from 1 species
AAGUCGUAACAAGGUUUCCGUAGGUGAACCUGCGGAAGGAUCAUUAGAAAUUUUGAUUUUUUAUUCAAAAAAUUUAAUCUUAAUAUAAAUAUUUAAGUAUAUGUAUAUAUAUAUAUCAUAAUAUUAAGACAACUUUCAACAACGGAUCUCUUGGCUCUU